GGCGUGACGUAACCAUAAGUGCGACACGGAAGCAAAACAAUAACAUACGCAAUAAGGAAUUCAAACCAAACUCUAGCAGAACAACCUACUAGAAUAACAGGACGAGUUAAGAUAAACACAUAAAUUCAGAGCAUAGGUUUCAGUGCAGUCAAGUAGGACUAAAAUAAAAGUACAUCACCCUCAGGUGAGUCCUACAUGUCAAGAGUCUGUUAGAAAGCCGGAAUAAGACCUCGAGAGCCACCAACCGCUAACUAGAACCUGGAGGGGCGCAAAACAAAAUGAGUGGGUCAGUAAAACCAAAGAGUUUGCCAAAACAGUUCAUUUAAACAUUUCUAACCCCUCACCGUAAAAACCUGUAUACUUUCCCAGAAAAUAGUAUAUAACCAUACAUACAUACAUACAUAUAUAUAUAUACGCAACAUCAAAACUCAACUCAUAUCCAUCAUCACAACAUCUCAGAAAUGAUAUGCCAUGCCCAAAAUAUAAUCAGAAUGCAUCAAUAUCAAUCAGGUGAAAUAAUACGUCAACCGGAGACCCUACAAUGGUCCUGUACGGCUGAUUCUAAAGCUCAACAUCUAAUCCAACCGGAGUCACCUCGGUGACCUGUACGGUCCAACUCUGCACGUCACUCGGAACUACAUAUAGUAGUCUGUACGACGACAGGUGUAUAAUUACGCUCUAGUGCUUCCCUCAUCAAUCAUCAGCGCGCAUAACUAAGGUCACCCACUAGUCGGAAUCACAUCUAAUGAUCUGUACGACUAGCAUGUCGGAACCCUCACAUGGUCUGUACGACAUCCACCUACUUGGAUCCAAGACGAGCGUACGGUGUGGUGAAUAACAAUAUAAGCACUAACACCUAAGUGCAGGUUAUGAGUUUUCAAUGCAAUUCAUAUAAAAUAACUCAGCUGAAUAAUAAUAAAACUCACCUGUGCGUCCACCACGUCAAUUCACAUAUAUAAGCAUCAAUUAUCAAGCUAAAUAUCUCAACAAUUUCAUGCAUGGCAAAUAAAUUCAUAAUUUUCAUAUAAACGUAUUUUCUGGGGAAAAACAAUUGUAUAUAGGUAAUACGAAAUCAAAACUGCCCACUCACUGAUAAGUCGAUGGGUCGUAAUCCCUGUGACGUCCCUGGAUGCGCUCGUCCUCGGGAUAGGUGUCACCUAUAUGCGAAACAACUAUAAAAACGUUAAUUUUAAACACAUAACCAAUAAUUCGAAAUAACUUCUCAUACGAUGC
rnacentral:lncRNA from 1 species